AGUCUAUUUAAGUAUCAAGUUAUCAACUACGUACCAU
rnacentral:sRNA from 1 species